GGGCAGCCCCGCUGGGCGCGCAGCGUGCGCGGCCGGGGCUGGCGGGUGUGGGAUGCCGGGCCGCGCCGCUAUCCCGGGAAGAGGUGUAGGAGCGCAGAGAAGCAGGAGGCGAGAGAAGAGCUGUGACAGCCCCCCAGAAGCGGAGGGAGAGACCUCCGGAGCGAAGCACCCGCCCGACUGCAGUGCCGAGCCACACGCUCCCCUUCCACUUGCUGCUAAGGGCAUCGCUGCUGGAUCUCAAAAAAUUAUCUAGAGAAUUUGUGCUUUGAAAAACCAUCACCUAACAGUUUGGCUACUGAGGUUACAGUUUCUAAUGCACUAGAAGAGAGUGAAUGCACCAGAGCUGCGCUCGCCUUGAAGGCACAGACAUGGCCUUACCACUGCACCUCCUGCUGCUGAAGUCAGGAUUGCAAGGCGAGAGCUUUCACUUUUACUUGGCGUUUCCUCCUGAAUUACUUUAGUUUUCUUCACGUGGGCAAAUAGGCAGCUCAAGAAUGUACAUACGGCUGCAGAAAUAUGGCUUCUCCACAGUGCAUCACAAUGUUGGAAGAACAUGUAUUUCAUAGUCUAGUAAUAGCACCUGUCAGUAACACCCCAGCACUACCACGGAUGCUGACUUGAAAGCGUGUCAGGAAGCUUUGAAUGACUGUUGUCCACAUCAAGGAGGUGAUCAGCCAGAAUUGCAAGAGGGAGGAGGAGGAGUAUAUAAAUCAAGUAAAUGAUGAAAAAAAUGAAAAAGGGAAAACUGAAGAGGAAACGAGGCUGAAUAUAAAUCUUAUCACUGAGGAGAAACCUCACCUCUGUUUACCACUGCCUUGACAGCUUGUCUUUUAAAGACUUUUUGCUUUUUCCACAAUGAUGGACAGGUACAGCCUCAAAAAGGAGGAAAGCCCAGUUCUGCAUUUGAAGGGUAAUGUAUGGUGCUAUUGACACAGUUAUUCUGAUUACUCUAAGGAUAAAACGUCUCCCAUCAGGAUGAAGACAGGGUCUACAGCAGUGUUACACAGAGCUGUGCACUGCUUCCCCCCAGACUUUAAUUUUUACCUCUAUUUGUGUAAAAUAACUGUGCUUUACAAAGAGCUUUUUGUCACAGAGCAACUGAAACUAUGUAGAUUCCCUUCUCAGUCCUCUCUUCUCAGAGGACUAUUUACAACUCCUGUCAUUGCAGACAGAAAAUGUGCUAGAGGUAAAUGUGAAGACAUACGUAUUGCCAAUAGACUGGAAUACAGUCAGUCGUUAUUGCAUAAUGGCUUACUCAGUUUCACUUUAAUAAAAAAAAAAUAAGGAAUAUAUCAGCAAAUCAAUGCAGUUAAAUUUAUCUGAAGAAUUUAAAGAAGCUAGUUUCCACCUUUCACCAAAGUUGUUAUUGGCCAUACUUGUAAAAUUUUCCUCAGUAAUGCGCUUGGGAUUUGAAAAUUCCAACGUUGAGUCUUUCUUGUGAUCUAGUGUUGAAAAUUGG